rnacentral:rRNA from 1 species
UAGGGAAUCUUCCGCAAUGGACGAAAGUCUGACGGAGCAACGCCGCGUGAACGAUGAAGGCCUUCGGGUCGUAAAGUUCUGUUGUUAGGGAAGAACAAGUACCAGAGUAACUGCUGGUACCUUGACGGUACCUAACCAGAAAGCCACGGCUAACUACGUGCCAGCAGCCGCGGUAAUACGUAGGUGGCAAGCGUUGUCCGGAAUUAUUGGGCGUAAAGCGCGCGCAGGUGGUUUCUUAAGUCUGAUGUGAAAGCCCACGGCUCAACCGUGGAGGGUCAUUGGAAACUGGGGAACUUGAGUGCAGAAGAGGAAAGUGGAAUUCCACGUGUAGCGGUGAAAUGCGUAGAGAUGUGGAGGAACACCAGUGGCGAAGGCGACUUUCUGGUCUGUAACUGACACUGAGGCGCGAAAGCGUGGGGAGCAAACAGGAUUAGAUACC